rnacentral:lncRNA from 1 species
CACUUGAGUAGAUCUAUAUAAUGUUGUCAUGCUACCUUUGUCUAUUCACAAGUAAGUGUUGGUUUGGAAGUAUUCGACAUACUUCCAUUGGCAUUUAAAUUAAGCGUGGUGCUUAGGUUAAAUAGCUCUCCUUAAUCUGAUUAGACAUGGAGUCUAGUUUGGUUACUGGACUAAAAAACUGCUUGUGUAGACAUUAGUAUAUUUUGUCGGACUAACCCCCGCAGAAAAACUUUCAAUAUCGAUUUGGGAAGUCCUGAGAUAAACUCACAUCAG